GGGCGUUAAGUUGCAGGGUAUAGACCCGAAACCCGGUGAUCUAGCCAUGGGCAGGUUGAAGGUUGGGUAACACUAACUGGAGGACCGAACCGACUAAUGUUGAAAAAUUAGCGGAUGACCUGUGGCUGGGGGUGAAAGGCCAAUCAAACCGGGAGAUAGCUGGUUCUCCCCGAAAGCUAUUUAGGUAGCGCCUCGUGAAUUCAUCUCCGGGGGUAGAGCACUGUUUCGGCUAGGGGGCCAUCCCGGCUUACCAACCCGAUGCAAACUGCGAAUACCGGAGAAUGUUAUCACGGGAGACACACGGCGGGUGCUAACGUCCGUCGUGAAGAGGGAAACAACCCAGACCGCCAGCUAAGGUCCCAAAGUCAUGGUUAAGUGGGAAACGAUGUGGGAAGGCCCAGACAGCCAGGAUGUUGGCUUAGAAGCAGCCAUCAUUUAAAGAAAGCGUAAUAGCUCACUGGUCGAGUCGGCCUGCGCGGAAGAUGUAACGGGGCUAAACCAUGCACCGAAGCUGCGGCAGCGAACGUAUCACCCAAGACAACUUUACGGAGUUGACGAUUGACGGAGCGAAGCGACGUCAAAGCGUUCAUUAAAGUCGAGUUGGCUUAGGGAUACGUUCGUUGGGUAGGGGAGCGUUCUGUAAGCCUGUGAAGGUGUGUCGUGAGGCAUGCUGGAGGUAUCAGAAGUGCGAAUGCUGACAUAAGUAACGAUAAAGCGGGUGAAAAGCCCGCUCGCCGGAAGACCAAGGGUUCCUGUCCAACGUUAAUCGGGGCAGGGUGAGUCGACCCCUAAGGCGAGGCCGAAAGGCGUAGUCGAUGGGAAACGGGUUAAUAUUCCCGUACUUGGUGUUACUGCGAAGGGGGGACGGAGAAGGCUAUGUUGGCCGGGCGACGGUUGUCCCGGUUUAAGCGUGUAGGUGUGUGUUCCAGGUAAAUCCGGUUCACUUUAACACUGAGGCGUGACGACGAGGCACUACGGUGCUGAAGCAACAAAUGCCCUGCUUCCAGGAAAAGCCUCUAAGCAUCAGGUAACAUCAAAUCGUACCCCAAACCGACACAGGUGGUCAGGUAGAGAAUACCAAGGCGCUUGAGAGAACUCGGGUGAAGGAACUAGGCAAAAUGGUGCCGUAACUUCGGGAGAAGGCACGCUGACACGUAGGUGAAGUGAUUUACUCAUGGAGCUGAAGUCAGUCGAAGAUACCAGCUGGCUGCAACUGUUUAUUAAAAACACAGCACUGUGCAAACACGAAAGUGGACGUAUACGGUGUGACGCCUGCCCGGUGCCGGAAGGUUAAUUGAUGGGGUCAGCGCAAGCGAAGCUCCUGAUCGAAGCCCCGGUAAACGGCGGCCGUAACUAUAACGGUCCUAAGGUAGCGAAAUUCCUUGUCGGGUAAGUUCCGACCUGCACGAAUGGCGUAAUGAUGGCCAGGCUGUCUCCACCCGAGACUCAGUGAAAUUGAACUCGCUGUGAAGAUGCAGUGUACCCGCGGCAAGACGGAAAGACCCCGUGAACCUUUACUAUAGCUUGACACUGAACAUUGAGCCUUGAUGUGUAGGAUAGGUGGGAGGCUUUGAAGUGUGGACGCCAGUCUGCAUGGAGCCGACCUUGAAAUACCACCCUUUAAUGUUUGAUGUUCUAACGUGGACCCGUAAUCCGGGUUGCGGACAGUGUCUGGUGGGUAGUUUGACUGGGGCGGUCUCCUCCUAAAGAGUAACGGAGGAGCACGAAGGUUGGCUAAUCCUGGUCGGACAUCAGGAGGUUAGUGCAAUGGCAUAAGCCAGCUUGACUGCGAGCGUGACGGCGCGAGCAGGUGCGAAAGCAGGUCAUAGUGAUCCGGUGGUUCUGAAUGGAAGGGCCAUCGCUCAACGGAUAAAAGGUACUCCGGGGAUAACAGGCUGAUACCGCCCAAGAGUUCAUAUCGACGGCGGUGUUUGGCACCUCGAUGUCGGCUCAUCACAUCCUGGGGCUGAAGUAGGUCCCAAGGGUAUGGCUGUUCGCCAUUUAAAGUGGUACGCGAGCUGGGUUUAGAACGUCGUGAGACAGUUCGGUCCCUAUCUGCCGUGGGCGCUGGAGAACUGAGGGGGGCUGCUCCUAGUACGAGAGGACCGGAGUGGACGCAUCACUGGUGUUCGGGUUGUCAUGCCAAUGGCACUGCCCGGUAGCUAAAUGCGGAAGAGAUAAGUGCUGAAAGCAUCUAAGCACGAAACUUGCCCCGAGAUGAGUUCUCCCUGAGACUUAGAGUCUCCUGAAGGAACGUUGAAGACGACGACGUUGAUAGGCCGGGUGUGUAAGCGCAGCGAUGCGUUGAGCUAACCGGUACUAAUGAACCGUGAGGCUUAACCUU
rnacentral:rRNA from 1 species